UACAGAGGGUGCGAGCGUUGUCCGGAAUUACUGGGCGUAAAGCGCGCGUAGGCGGACCUGCAAGUCGGGGGUGAAAGCCCGAGGCUCAACCUCGGAACUGCCUUCGAUACUGCGGGUCUCGAGUCCGGGGAGAGGUGAGUGGAAUUCCUAGUGUAGAGGUGAAAUUCGUAGAUAUUCGCAAGAACACCAGUGGCGAAGGCGGCUCACUGGCCCGGUACUGACGCGUGAGGUGCGAAAGCGUGGGGAGCAAACAGG
rnacentral:rRNA from 1 species